rnacentral:rRNA from 1 species
AGUGAACGCUGGCGGUAGGCCUAACACAUGCGAGUCGAACGGCAGCACAGUAAGAGCUUGCUCUUACGGGUGGCGAGUGGCGGACGGGUGAGGAAUACAUCGGAAUCUACUUUUUCGUGGGGGAUAACGUAGGGAAACUUACGCUAAUACCGCAUACGACCUACGGGUGAAAGCAGGGGAUCUUCGGACCUUGCGCGAUUGAAUGAGCCGAUGUCGGAUUAGCUAGUUGGCGGGGUAAAGGCCCACCAAGGCGACGAUCCGUAGCUGGUCUGAGAGGAUGAUCAGCCACACUGGAACUGAGACACGGUCCAGACUCCUACGGGAGGCAGCAGUGGGGAAUAUUGGACAAUGGGCGCAAGCCUGAUCCAGCCAUACCGCGUGGGUGAAGAAGGCCUUCGGGCUGUAAAGCCCUUUUGUUGGGAAAGAAAAGCAGCAGGUUAAUACCCCGCUGUUCUGACGGUACCCAAAGGAUAAGCACCGGCUAACUUCGUG